AACGUAGGUGGCGAGCGUUAUCCGGAUUUACUGGGCGUAAAGCGUGUGCAGGCGGCCUCACAAGUGGUGUAUGAAAUAUCCAGCUCAACCUGGAGGGGUUAUGCCAGACUGUGAGGCUAGAGUGCGAGAGAGGGGCGUGGAAUUCCGGGUGUAGUGGUGAAAUGCGUAGAGAUCCGGAGGAACCCCAGAGGCGAAGGCGGCGCCCUGGCUCGCAACUGACGCUCAGACACGACAGCAUGGGGAGCGAACGGG
rnacentral:rRNA from 1 species